CGAGCAACGCCGCGUGAACGAUGAAGUAUUUCGGUACGUAAAGUUCUUUUAUUAGGGAAGAAUAAAUGAUGGAAAAAUCAUUCUGACGGUACCUAAUGAAUAAGCCCCGGCUAACUAUGUGCCAGCAGCCGCGGUAAUACAUAGGGGGCAAGCGUUAUCCGGAAUUAUUGGGCGUAAAGGGUGCGUAGGCGGUUAAAUAAGUUUAUGGUCUAAGUGCAAUGCUCAACAUUGUGAUGCUAUAAAAACUGUUUAGCUAGAGUAAGAUAGAGGCAAGUGGAAUUCCAUGUGUAGUGGUAAAAUGCGUAAAUAUAUGGAGGAACACCAGUAGCGAAGGCGGCUUGCUGGGUCUUUACUGACGCUGAGGCACGAAAGCGUGGGGAGCAAACAGGAUUAGAUACCCUGGUAGUCCACGCCGUAAACGAUGAGUACUAAACGUUGGGUAAAACCAGUGUUGAAGUUAACACAUUAAGUACUCCGCCUGAGUAGUACGUACGCAAGUAUGAAACUUAAAGGAAUUGACGGGACUCCGCACAAGCGGUGGAUCAUGUUGUUUAAUUCGAAGGUACCCGAAAAACCUCACCAGGUCUUGACAUGCUUCUGCAAAGCUGUAGAAACACAGUGGAGGUUAUCAGUUGCACAGGUGGUGCAUGGUUGUCGUCAGCUCGUGUCGUGAGAUGUUGGGUUAAGUCCCGCAACGAGCGCAACCCUUAUUGUUAGUUACCAGCACGUAAUGGUGGGGACUUUAGCAAGACUGCCAGUGAUGAAUUGGAGGAAGGUGGGGACGACGUCAAAUCAUCAUGCCCCUUAUGACCUGGGCUACAAACGUGAUACAAUG
rnacentral:rRNA from 1 species